ACUAAUUUACAAACUUUCCCGCCAGCACUGUGGAACAGCCCACAAUAGCAGGGACCAAACAAUCUUCAUUCAGAGGAUCUUUACAAAGCACAUGGCAUUACCUUAACCCCCAGGGGUCCAAAAACGCGGGGACGCGUUUUGACGUGUUUUCUCCUUAUCAUAGCAGAAUCAACUUAAAAUACUCCAUCAUUAAUAAUCAAACACUUACGUGUUUGACAUCAUUUGAAACUCUGAAGGGUCCUCUUAAAUUAGUGUACAUUCACAAUAACAACAGAUCUUUGUGUUUUUGUCAAAUAAAGAAAAUAAACAGGGUGCUCAUUCAGACAUUUCUGUCUCCGCCAGCUGUCUCUCAAAUCACGUUACAAAAAUUAGUUGAAACUCCGCGAAUACUCGUCACACAAACAUAAUACACAUAUCCAAAGAAAGCCUGAAAUGUCUACUUUUAAACAAGCUAAUUAUUAUCAAAAACAAAUAUUUCCUGUUUAUAUAAUCUGCACUGAAGUAAAGAGAGUACCGUUUUUCCUGGCUGAGCUCAUUAUCUAUAAUGCGGUCACGCCCACACGCUGUUGACAUGGUAAUGAAGAGACGAGCUGUUCAAACCAGCAAAGCGUAAUGUUUGAUAAGAUUUAAAGACUUUAGCGCAUGUUUGGAUUAUAAACUUUAUACACACACGUGAGGAAUAUCUUCAUUUAUGUCUGGACAUUGAGGAAGAGAAGCGUUUAUCUUUAACGUUACCUAAGAAGAAGAACAAUGGAAGGCGCAAUGGAGGCGGAUAUAUUCCUGAAGAAACUGUCUGCAUCCCUCUCAUCAGUAAACUAUGAAGUGGAAAAACAUAUUCACACUCUUUGGACAUAAAGUUGUAUGGUAACAUGAGCCACAUGAAGUUUACAGCUCUGUUGUUUAUCAGUUUCUUAUACAAGUUAAGUUUUUGAAUAGGGUCCUACUGACCUUCAUUUCUAUUUUGAUUAUAUUGUUAACUUCUUAAUAAACCUCAAACAAACAUG